GGCGAGUUACGAUCCCGUGCGAGGUUAAGCUGAAGAGGCGGAGCCGCAGCGAAAGCGAGUCUGAAUAGGGCGUUUAGUACGUGGUCGUAGACCCGAAACCAGGUGAUCUACCCAUGUCCAGGGUGAAGUUCAGGUAACACUGAAUGGAGGCCCGAACCCACGCACGUUGAAAAGUGCGGGGAUGAGGUGUGGGUAGCGGAGAAAUUCCAAUCGAACCUGGAGAUAGCUGGUUCUCCCCGAAAUAGCUUUAGGGCUAGCCUUAAGUGUAAGAGUCUUGGAGGUAGAGCACUGAUUGGACUAGGGGUCCUCAUCGGAUUACCGAAUUCAGUCAAACUCCGAAUGCCAAUGACUUAUCCUUAGGAGUCAGACUGCGAGUGAUAAGAUCCGUAGUCAAAAGGGAAACAGCCCAGACCGCCAGCUAAGGUCCCAAAGUGUGUAUUAAGUGGAAAAGGAUGUGGAGUUGCUUAGACAACUAGGAUGUUGGCUUAGAAGCAGCCACCAUUUAAAGAGUGCGUAAUAGCUCACUAGUCGAGUGACUCUGCGCCGAAAAUGUACCGGGGCUAAAUACACCACCGAAGCUGCGGAUUGAUACCAAUGGUAUCAGUGGUAGGGGAGCGUUCUAAGGACAGUGAAGUCAGACCGGAAGGACUGGUGGAGUGCUUAGAAGUGAGAAUGCCGGUAUGAGUAGCGAAAGACGGGUGAGAAUCCCGUCCACCGAAUGCCUAAGGUUUCCUGAGGAAGGCUCGUCCGCUCAGGGUUAGUCAGGACCUAAGCCGAGGCCGACAGGCGUAGGCGAUGGACAACAGGUUGAUAUUCCUGUACCACCUCUUUAUCGUUUGAGCAAUGGAGGGACGCAGAAGGAUAGAAGAAGCGUGCGAUUGGUUGUGCACGUCCAAGCAGUUAGGCUGAUAAGUAGGCAAAUCCGCUUAUCGUGAAGGCUGAGCUGUGAUGGGGAAGCUCCUUAUGGAGCGAAGUCUUUGAUUCCCCGCUGCCAAGAAAAGCUUCUAGCGAGAUAAAAGGUGCCUGUACCGCAAACCGACACAGGUAGGCGAGGAGAGAAUCCUAAGGUGUGCGAGAGAACUCUGGUUAAGGAACUCGGCAAAAUGACCCCGUAACUUCGGGAGAAGGGGUGCUUUCUUAACGGAAAGCCGCAGUGAAUAGGCCCAAGCGACUGUUUAGCAAAAACACAGCUCUCUGCGAAGCCGUAAGGCGAAGUAUAGGGGGUGACACCUGCCCGGUGCUGGAAGGUUAAGGAGAGGGGUUAGCGUAAGCGAAGCUCUGAACUGAAGCCCCAGUAAACGGCGGCCGUAACUAUAACGGUCCUAAGGUAGCGAAAUUCCUUGUCGGGUAAGUUCCGACCCGCACGAAAGGUGUAACGAUUUGGGCACUGUCUCAACCAGAGACUCGGUGAAAUUAUAGUACCUGUGAAGAUGCAGGUUACCCGCGACAGGACGGAAAGACCCCGUGGAGCUUUACUGUAGCCUGAUAUUGAAUUUUGGUACAGUUUGUACAGGAUAGGCGGGAGCCUUUGAAACCGGAGCGCUAGCUUCGGUGGAGGCGCUGGUGGGAUACCGCCCUGACUGUAUUGAAAUUCUAACCUACGGGUCUUAUCGACCCGGGAGACAGUGUCAGGUGGGCAGUUUGACUGGGGCGGUCGCCUCCUAAAGUGUAACGGAGGCGCCCAAAGGUUCCCUCAGAAUGGUUGGAAAUCAUUCGUAGAGUGCAAAGGCAUAAGGGAGCUUGACUGCGAGACCUACAAGUCGAGCAGGGACGAAAGUCGGGCUUAGUGAUCCGGUGGUUCCGCAUGGAAGGGCCAUCGCUCAACGGAUAAAAGCUACCCCGGGGAUAACAGGCUUAUCUCCCCCAAGAGUCCACAUCGACGGGGAGGUUUGGCACCUCGAUGUCGGCUCAUCGCAUCCUGGGGCUGUAGUCGGUCCCAAGGGUUGGGCUGUUCGCCCAUUAAAGCGGUACGCGAGCUGGGUUCAGAACGUCGUGAGACAGUUCGGUCCCUAUCCGUCGUGGGCGUAGGAAAUUUGAGAGGAGCUGUCCUUAGUACGAGAGGACCGGGAUGGACGCACCGCUGGUGUACCAGUUGUUCUGCCAAGGGCAUAGCUGGGUAGCUAUGUGCGGAAGGGAUAAGUGCUGAAAGCAUCUAAGCAUGAAGCCCCCCUCAAGAUGAGAUUUCCCAUAGCGUAAGCUAGUAAGAUCCCUGAAAGAUGAUCAGGUUGAUAGGUUCGAGGUGGAAG
rnacentral:rRNA from 1 species